rnacentral:lncRNA from 1 species
UCAAACUGGAGCUUUACUCGAGACUUGGGGAGUAUUUUACUUUCUUUCGAGCUUAGCCGAUAAUCACUUGCUACUAUUCAAUAUUUAUUUCGGACAUAUUUAUAAAUUGAUAUUAAAUUAUACAACAGAUGACAAAUCUAAACGUAAAUAAAUCCAAAACAAUGGCCGCUUACAGGUCUACAGAGUAAAAUGGGUCGACCGCUGUCCGUAAAAGUGAAAAGUCGAACUCGAUCCGACCCAUUUGACAAGUGAAACUUCAUUUUCUACUUUCUACUCAAAAGCCAAAGAACCGACAAAAUAAUUAUAAAUUGUCAAGAGCGGAUAUGGUACAAUCUUAAAAAAAAUGCUUCAUAGUAUCGAAGCAAUAAGCAAACCUGCUAUCUUAAUUCCUUUUUACCACACAAAAUUCUUGUAGCGACGAAUUCCUACAAGCAGUACAUCUGCUUUUCCCAUAAUAUUUUUACUUGAUAUACAGAUGUGAUAACAAAACAUUACUAAAACUGGAGAACUAAUGCUCGUGCUUAACACGCGCCUUUAAUAUUCCGGGAACAGGAGACGAGG